UUGACCUUUCCAUUUUGCAUUUACCUCCCAAAUUUCAGAAUUUGAGGUCGUCCAAACGAGACUUGUUUUAUACCCUAACUCUAAAUCCUAAAUUCUCAAAAUUUUCAAAACCUCUGGUUUAGAGUCGAUUGAUUGUGGGUAUGUGUUUGAAUCAUUUGUUGAUAACUUCAUAACUUUAAUUUUGCUUUUGAUUGGUGGGAAGAAUAUUUCCACGGUUCUUAAAUUGGAUAGCUUUACAGCUCUGGUUUUGCUAUUGAAUGGUGGGAAGAAGAUUUCCAUGGUUUUGAAAUAUCAAAAGCUUCAUCGACCUACCACACUUUGGCUACAAAAUUUUUUCCCCUCCCAAUAUUAGAACCGGGCAGUAGCUUAGCACCCCAAAUCCUAAAUCUCAUUUUUUUUCAAUACAGUGUUGAUUGGUGUGAAGAAGAGGAAAUUUCCGAGCUAACGACAGAAAAUCCGACGGAUUUAUUCCUAGGGUUUCUCUCACACCCUAAUCUAUCUCUCUACUCAACAAUUAUCCAUUUCUCUCUUUGUUUUUCAUCGCUUUCUCUCUUUUUGUCCUUCCAAGCAAACUCUGAUCAGUUAAACCCUUUCUCCCCAAAUGCAGAAGGUUUGAUAUAUAGCUUCAUUGGCGAUUCGGUGUGGAAUGGCCUGCUACUGAAAGGAAGGAAAAAAGCUAAACGCUUAAGGUUUAAUUUCCACCGAAAAUUGGUCUUCUGCCAAUCACAAAAGAAUUAUAGGUUAAUUGGAGUACGGAAGCAUCAUGAAUUCAUGUUAUGGAGUUGUUAUGUUAUUCUUUAUUAGGAAUUGUAAUUAUUCAAAAUGGAUAAUCUCUAUGACUUUUAUUAAGGAUGUUUAUUAAUGGAAGUAAUGUGUGAUUCAUUCUGAA